UACGGGAGGCAGCAGUGAGGAAUAUUGGUCAAUGGGCGGAAGCCUGAACCAGCCAAGUCGCGUGAGGGAUGAAGGUCCACAAGGAUUGCAGACCUCUUUUGCCGGGGAGCAACGUGUUCGCUGCGGCGGACAGUGAGAGUACCCGGAGAAAAAGCAUCGGCUAACUCCGUGCCAGCAGCCGCGGUAAU
rnacentral:rRNA from 1 species